rnacentral:pre_miRNA from 1 species
GUUGUACUCCCUCCAUUCAGAAUUACUUGUCGUAGAAAUGGAUGUAUCUAGACGUAUUUUAGUUCUAGAUACAUCCAUAUCCGAGACAAGUAAUUCCGAACGGAGGGAGUACUUA